AGAAUCAACGCUGGCGGCGUGCCUAACACAUGCAAGUCGCACGAGAAAGGGACUUCGGUCCUGAGUACAGUGGCGCACGGGUGAGUAACACGUGAAUAAUCUACCUCCGAGUGGGGAAUAACUGAGAGAAAUCUUAGCUAAUACCGCAUAACACUUACGAGUCAAAGCAGCAAUGCGCUUGGAGAGGAGUUCGCGGCAGAUUAGUUAGUUGGCGGGUAAUGGCCCACAAGACGAUGAUCUGU
rnacentral:rRNA from 1 species